GCGCCCAUAGCUCAACUGGAUAGAGUACUUGACUACGAAUCAAGCGGUUAGAGGUUCGAGACUCCUCUUGGGCGCA
rnacentral:tRNA from 1 species